AAAACAAUAAACACGGAACCAAAGAAGAAACGAGUUUAUAUCCUACUUCUAGUUGUAACUACAUACUUUUUUUGUUUUUUGUUUA
rnacentral:ribozyme from 1 species